UCAGAUUUGUAAAAACCCCAACGGCUCUCUCUCGACAUUCUCUUCGCUCUCCCUUCUCUCCGAAACCACCACCACCACCGGCGCUGGUGGUACCGAAACAAACCCACUCUUCUCCACCGUACGACGCAUCAACACUCCCAAUCUCCACCUCGGCCGUCCGAUCAUUCUGAUCUUCGUCUCUCCGUCUCUUCAUCCAACGGCCUCGAUCAAUCCUCCGCCUCUUACUUCUCUGAUCGCGACUUUGUUUACCCUUCCUUUCUCGGUGCCUAUCCUAAUACUAAUAGAACUCGCGUCCACGUCAGGCGAGUCAACUCGGGGCGAGGAGGACUCAGGGACUUAAUCACUCUCUCAUUCUAUAUAUUACUUGGAAAUUGUGUAUUUGCAUGCUAUAGUAUUAUUUGCUAACAUGGAGAGGAGUAUUGUGGUGGAGGAGAAUCAUUGUAAGAGCAAUGUUAGUUAAUUCCGUCUCCAAGUCAGAUGGGCCGUUUAUUCAGAUCAACUUUAUAUCUAUAGAUCUUGUUAGUGCUGAGGAGAAGAGUGAUGCUGGAAAGUUAAGCCUUCUCCCUAAUCAUUUUGACUGUAGUUGGCAAUAAAUAUGGAGUUGUCUCUUACCAAUGUUCAGCUGAAUUAUACUU